CGAGAAAACUUUGCAAUGUGCGAAAGCACGACAAGGUUAAUCCGAGUGGUUUCUGCUAAAGGAACCUUUUGUCGGUCCUAGAAACACCGAUGAAUAAGGGGUGGGCAAGUUCUGGUGUCAGCCGCCGCGGUAAAACCAGCACCUCAAGUGGUCAGGAUGAUUAUUGGGCCUAAAGCAUCCGUAGCCGGCUCUGUAAGUUUUCGGUUAAAUCUGUAUGCUCAACAUACAGGCUGCCGGGAAUACUGCAGAGCUAGGGAGUGGGAGAGGUAGACGGUACUCGGUAGGAAGGGGUAAAAUCCUUUGAUCUAUUGAUGACCACCUGUGGCGAAGGCGGUCUACCAGAACACGUCCGACGGUGAGGGAUGAAAGCUGGGGGAGCAAACCGGAUUAGAUACCCGGGUAGUCCCAGCUGUAAACUAUGCAAACUCAGUGAUGCAUUGGCUUGUGGCCAAUGCAGUGCUGCAGGG
rnacentral:rRNA from 2 species